GUUUUGGUCCUAAACUUGCCAUUGUUUUUUAUCAAAUUUACACAUGCAAGCUUCAACAGCCCAGUGAGAUUGCCCAAAACCCCUAAACAGCCAUAAGGAGCGGGUAUCAGGAUUCAGACAUCUAGCCUAAGACGCCUUGCUAUGCCACCCCCACACGGGUUUACAGCAGUGAAUAACAUUAAGACAUGAGCGAAAGCUCGACUUAGUUAUGAUAAAUAUGGCCGGUAAAUUUCGUGCCAGCCACCGCGGUUAUACGAAAGACCAAAAACAAUGGCUUACGGCGUAAAGCGUGACCAAAGCCAGUCAUAAUUUUAAGGAACUACUAUAUCAAAGUCGUAAAACACCUUGACUAUAAGACCACCAACAUCAAAAUGACCUUAAACAAAAAGACCCCUUGACCUCACGAAAGCUAAGAAACAAACUAGGAUUAGAUACCCUACUAUGCUUAGCCCUAAACAUAGAUAGCAAACAUACAAUGCUAUCCGCCAGAGAACUACAAGUGAAAAACUAGAAACUCCAAGGACUUGGCGGUACUCCACAUCGACCUAGAGGAGCCUGUCCUAUAAUCGAUAACCCACGUUAUACCUCACCACCCCUUGCAACUCAGCCUAUAUACCGCCGUCGCCAGCCUACCUUAUGAAAGAAACAAAGUAGACAAGAUAGUUAACAACUAAGACGUCAGGUCAAGGUGUAGCACAUGGAGCGGAAGAGAUGGGCUACACUUUCUAUUACAGAACAUACGAAUAGCACAAUGAAACUUGUGCUUAAAGGUGGAUUUAGCAGUAAGAUAAACAAGAAACUUUAACUGAAACUCGCUCUGGAGUGCGCACACACCGCCCGUCACCCUC
rnacentral:ncRNA from 1 species